GUAGCACCAGCUGUUCCACCUAGCAAUGCCAUGUCUGAUAUGCCUGUAAGCCCUGCAUCAGUAGCUUCCAGUGGACACUUCCCCUUCACCGCUUCGGAGAUUUCAGGGAUGGGAAUUGACACAUCAGUGCUUGACUCUUCGUUCCCAUCUGACGUAGCAAGUUCAGUAGGAUUGCAACUUCCACCAGAUAACGGUGUUGGUAAUUCUAGAGAUUUGCUGAGAUCCUUGGAUCAAAUUCCUUGGGAUUUCAG
rnacentral:misc_RNA from 1 species